UACACUCCUACGGGAGGCAGCAGUGGGGAAUUUUGGACAAUGGGCGAAAGCCUGAUACAGCAAUGCCGCGUGUGUGAAGAAGGCCUUCGGGUUGUAAAGCACUUUUGUCCGGAAAGAAAUCCUUGGCUCUAAUACAGUCGGGGGAUGACGGUACCGGAAGAAUAAGCACCGGCUAACUACGUGCCAGCAGCCGCGGUAAUACGUAGGGUGCGAGUGUUAAUCGGAAUUACUGGGCGUAAAGCGUGCGCAGGCGGUUUGCUAAGACCGAUGUGAAAUCCCCGGGCUCAACCUGGGAACUGCAUUGGGGACUGGCAGGCUAGAGUAUGGCAGAGGGGGGUAGAAUUCCACGUGUAGCAGUGAAAUGCGUAGAGAUGUGGAGGAAGACCGAUGGCGAAGGCAGCCCCCUGGGCCAAUACUGACGCUCAUGCACGAAAGCGUGGGGAGCAAACAGGAUUAGAAACCCGGGUAGUCCCAU
rnacentral:rRNA from 1 species